AAAACAGUUCAUGUAUCACCAGUCCUGCCAACUGGACCAAAACCUGAAUGUUCUGAGUUUACAGAGGAAAAAAGUGUCCAGACAUAUGAUACGGAGAGACUGCAACUGAAAGGGCAAUGCGUGUUAGCCAAAGGAAGAUUUUUCUGUGUGGGAUGUUUGGUGCCCUGAGAAGAAAAUGCAUUUAAUUUCAGAAGCUACUUGCCUGGAAUGCUAAUUGACAGAGGAUAGAGAAAAGAAAAAGAAGAACCUGGCAAAUUGGAACUCUAUCUGCUGCUGCACAUUUGGAAUGGUGGAAACACAGCCUAAAGAGAUGAAAAAACAAACCAUAGUGCAAGAUGUGUGGCAAAACCUGCAUGCAGAAAUCACAAAACUAUAAAGACUGUAAUAUAAGACUGUGGAUUACCACACAAUUAUCUUUGUUUACAAUAUAUACACAUAUAUGUAGUACCCAGACACAUGCAAGGGCGGACAAAAUAUUCUUUGCCCUGUAAUGUUUUAAGUUUUUAGUCACUUCUGUUGCUACUUAUCAUGGUUAUUUGUUCCAUCUGCAUAGCAAUGUUCUGUGUGUCAGUUUGUGAAAACUAUAGGAGAUCACCACCUACAUAAAUAAGUAUAUAAAUGGAAACAUUUAUGGAUUGUAAAAAAGAGGCUGAAAUGCUGCAUUAGUCUUGUCUUUAUUCCUUACUGAUUUUCAUAUACCAGUUUUCCCAGAAUUUAGUGUCUUUCAGCACAGAGCACUCUCUGUGUUUUCAGUCUCACAAGCAGCCUGCAGUUUCAGAGACAGUUUGUUAUAAGCUUAUUUCCUUUCAUUUCUUAAGUUCUUAGGAAAACCCAACAGCUUUUCUAUCUGUCAAACAUUGCCAUGCCAUAAAAAUUAGUCCGGUGGGUGUGGGCAUUAAAGCGCUUCAAUUUUCUAGCACGUAUUUUUCUCAAAAUAGUCCAUUUUCAGUAAAAAAUAAAACCUGGCUUUGCAGAGGUUUGGAGGAUUAAAGAAAACAUUUAAGAAAAGAAAGUGAGCCUGCCCAAAGCAUGCUGAGUACCCUGCCUUUCUGGGCUCUGCACCAGCCUACUCUUAAUAGCAGACCUCUGCUUUUGGCAUCCAUUAGGAGGAUAAUUUAAUGAAUAAAAGUGCUGUCAGAAAACUGUAAAACCAAUGUUUUUUGAACAGGUGUUGCUCUUGGAGAGCAUUACACAGGACACACGUUGAUCUUCUUGACUAGCUGUCUGAACAAAAUGUCGUGGAAGGAACUCAUACUCUGACCAUC